rnacentral:rRNA from 3 species
GGCGGACGGGUGAGUAAUACUUAGGAAUCUGCCUAUUAAUGGGGGACAACAUCUCGAAAGGGAUGCUAAUACCGCAUACGCCCUACGGGGGAAAGCAGGGGAUCACUUGUGACCUUGCGUUAAUAGAUGAGCCUAAGUCGGAUUAGCUAGUUGGUGGGGUAAAGGCCUACCAAGGCGACGAUCUGUAGCGGGUCUGAGAGGAUGAUCCGCCACACUGGGACUGAGACACGGCCCAGACUCCUACGGGAGGCAGCAGUGGGGAAUAUUGGACAAUGGGGGGAACCCUGAUCCAGCCAUGCCGCGUGUGUGAAGAAGGCCUUAUGGUUGUAAAGCACUUUAAGCGAGGAGGAGGCUCCUGUAGUUAAUACCUACAGUGAGUGGACGUUACUCGCAGAAUAAGCACCGGCUAACUCUGUGCCAGCAGCCGCGGUAAUACAGAGGGUGCGAGCGUUAAUCGGAUUUACUGGGCGUAAAGCGUGCGUAGGCGGCUUUUUAAGUCGGAUGUGAAAUCCCCGAGCUUAACUUGGGAAUUGCAUUCGAUACUGGGAAGCUAGAGUAUGGGAGAGGAUGGUAGAAUUCCAGGUGUAGCGGUGAAAUGCGUAGAGAUCUGGAGGAAUACCGAUGGCGAAGGCAGCCAUCUGGCCUAAUACUGACGCUGAGGUACGAAAGCAUGGGGAGCAAACAGGAUUAGAUACCCUGGUAGUCCAUGCCGUAAACGAUGUCUACUAGCCGUUGGGGCCUUUGAGGCUUUAGUGGCGCAGCUAACGCGAUAAGUAGACCGCC